CUACGGGGCGCACCAGUGGGGAAUAUUACACAAUGGAGGAAACUCUGAUGCAGCAACGCCGCGUGGAGGAUGACACUUUUCGGAGCGUAAACUCCUUUUAUAUAGGAAGAAGAUGACGGGACUAUAUGAAUAAGCGCCGGCUAACUCCGUGCCAGCAGCCGCGGUAAUACGGAGGGCGCAAGCGUUACUCGGAAUCACUGGGCGUAAAGAGCGUGUAGGCGGAUUAAAAAGUCAGAAGUGAAAUCCUAUAGCUUAACUAUAGAACUGCUUCUGAAACUCUUAAUCUAGAAUAUGGGAGAGGUAGAUGGAAUUUCUGGCGUAGGGGUAAAAUCCGUAGAGAUCAGAAGGAAUACCGAUUGCGAAGGCGAUCUACUAGAACAUUAUUGACGCUGAGACGCGAAAGCGUGGGGAGCAAACAGGAUUAGAUACCCCUGUAGUC
rnacentral:rRNA from 1 species